rnacentral:lncRNA from 1 species
UCAAAUUACCUUCACGACUAAUGAAAACACAUGUGGGUCUCUCAUUUAUGUAGCAACCUUUCAUUUGGCCAAGUGGCUUUGUGGGGCUGAAAUUGAAACUGGGUAUUUUUCGACCUAUUUAACUGAUCCAACCCACCCUUUAUUACCUGGAUCAGUUCUUUUUACCCUAUGCCCAGCUAUUCAAUCGUCUUCUUUCCCAAUUUAGUUCCUAGGUCAGGUAUUCUCAUAUCAACUUCUUCCCCCAAAAGAAAUUUUCAACUAAUUAAUUUUUGUCUUUUCUCUUCGAAUAUUGCGUUUGGUUGUAAAAAGUUGCGCCUUUAUUGUUAAACAAAAAUUUCAAGAUGUCCGAAAAAUCUGUUUUUUAAGUUCGUCGCAUCGGUGUGGUUGUCUUUAACUGCAAAUUAUUUUGUGGCUAAGACUCCUUGAAUGGUGGUCAUAGAUUCUACAAACGCCCUCAUUUUGACAAGGAAGCUUUAUGUGGUUUGUGAGAAUGGUGGGAUGAAGAGAUGUCACCACAUGUGAUUAUGUUAAUCAACAACUUGAAUACUUCACUGAAGCCCGUGGAAGUUGAAAGGAAUUAUCUGAAGAAGAUGGUGGCAACUUGGAAGAGGUUGUUUCUGUUGAAAGACUGAAAAUUGAGAAAAUAAUGUAACAGAUAGAGGGAAUUUAUUCAGCAAACUUAGAGAAUGUGGCUAGGAUGGAGGAUAAACUACAAGUGAUGAAGUGAUAUAACGAUCCGGCCAGCCGUUUUGAGAGGUAGAGCCCUGAUCUCCUAUUAACUACUUUUUCCUUGUCUAUUUCUGCUAUUGUGACUUGCAGAGAGGUUUCAUUCUUAUCUUUGGAAAUGUUUGGGACACUUAGUCCCUAAAUGGUAGCUUAAGCCUUAGGAAUUGGGCUGUAGUCAGAUCUAUGUAAAGAUGGCUUCGAAAUAGAGUUAUGUCGAUUCUCUAGCUCCGUUAGGUGAUAUUAGACUUAGGGGCGUAUCCAGAUUGUAUUUUAGAGGUCCAUAGCUCAUUUAAGCUUGUAAUGGCGAAAGUCAAAUUUUUUUAGAUUUGGAUCGGUAGUGGAAUUUUUUAUAUCGUGAUCGGAUUUUGAUUCCGGAAGUUAGAGUAGGUAUUUAGUGUUAAUUAUGACUUGUGCACAAAAUUUGGGAUUAAUCGGACGUGGCUUGAUAGAUUUCGGCAUCGGUUGUAGAAUUUUCAAGUUUCUAAGUUCUUUAAGUUUGAAUUAGUGGGUGAUUCGUGAUUUUAGAAUUAUUAAAUAAGAUUUGAAGGAUCGACUAAGUUCGUAUGGUAUUUUAGGAUUGAUUGGUAUGUUUGAUUGAGGUCCCAGGGGCCUCGGGUGCAUUUUGGAUGCUCAGCGGAUCAUUUUGGACUUUGGAAAGAUAUAAUAUUUUGUUUAUCUUUAUUGCAGAAGAUUGUUCAUCGCGUUCCCGAAAAGGAGAUUGCUUUCACGAAGGUAUGGCCAGUGGAAGCAUCGCGAAUGCAAGGAAUAGGACGCGUUUGCGUAGAGGAAAAAAUAGAACAGUUGGGACCCCAAAGGUUUGUUCUCGCGUAGAGGAGAAUGCGUUUGCGAAAGGUCUGGCAGGUGAAGCUAC